AUGAACGCUAGCUACAGGCUUAACACAUGCAAGUCGAGGGGCAGCAUUUCAGUUUGCUUGCAAACUGGAGAUGGCGACCGGCGCACGGGUGAGUAACACGUAUCCAACCUGCCGAUAACUCGGGGAUAGCCUUUCGAAAGAAAGAUUAAUACCCGAUGGUAUAAUUAGACCGCAUGGUCUUGUUAUUAAAGAAUUUCGGUUAUCGAUGGGGAUGCGUUCCAUUAGGCAGUUGGUGAGGUAACGGCUCACCAAACCUUCGAUGGAUAGGGGUUCUGAGAGGAAGGUCCCCCACAUUGGAACUGAGACACGGUCCAAACUCCUACGGGAGGCAGCAGUGAGGAAUAUUGGUCAAUGGGCGCAGGCCUGAACCAGCCAAGUAGCGUGAAGGAUGACUGCCCUAUGGGUUGUAAACUUCUUUUAUAUGGGAAUAAAGUUUUCCACGUGUGGAAUUUUGUAUGUACCAUAUGAAUAAGGAUCGGCUAACUCCGUGCCAGCAGCCGCGGUAAUACGGAGGAUCCGAGCGUUAUCCGGAUUUAUUGGGUUUAAAGGGAGCGUAGGUGGACAGUUAAGUCAGUUGUGAAAGUUUGCGGCUCAACCGUAAAAUUGCAGUUGAUACUGGCUGUCUUGAGUACAGUAGAGGUGGGCGGAAUUCGUGGUGUAGCGGUGAAAUGCUUAGAUAUCACGAAGAACUCCGAUUGCGAAGGCAGCUCACUGGACUGCAACUGACACUGAUGCUCGAAAGUGUGGGUAUCAAACAGGAUUAGAUACCCUGGUAGUCCACACAGUAAACGAUGAAUACUCGCUGUUUGCGAUAUACAGUAAGCGGCCAAGCGAAAGCAUUAAGUAUUCCACCUGGGGAGUACGCCGGCAACGGUGAAACUCAAAGGAAUUGACGGGGGCCCGCACAAGCGGUGGAGUAUGUGGUUUAAUUCGACGCAACGCGAAGAACCUUACCAAGUCUUGACAUCCUUCUGACCGGUACUUAAUCGUACCUUCUCUUCGGGGCAGGAGUGACAGGUGGUGCAUGGUUGUCGUCAGCUCGUGCCGUGAGGUGUCGGCUUAAGUGCCAUAACGAGCGCAACCCUUAUCUUUAGUUACUAACAGGUCAUGCUGAGGACUCUAGAGAGACUGCCGUCGUAAGAUGUGAGGAAGGUGGGGAUGACGUCAAAUCAGCACGGCCCUUACGUCCGGGGCUACACACGUGUUACAAUGGGGGGUACAGAAGGCAGCUACCUGGUGACAGGAUGCUAAUCCCAAAAGCCUCUCUCAGUUCGGAUCGAAGUCUGCAACCCGACUUCGUGAAGCUGGAUUCGCUAGUAAUCGCGCAUCAGCCAUGGCGCGGUGAAUACGUUCCCGGGCCUUGUACACACCGCCCGUCAAGCCAUGAAAGCCGGGGGUACCUGAAGUACGUAACCGCAAGGAGCGUCCUAGGGUAAAACUGGUAAUUGGGGCU
rnacentral:rRNA from 1 species